UGGAUCGCCUGUCGUGACGUUGCAGUUGAAAAACCCAUUAUUUAUCUUGGAAGAUAAAAAUUUUCGUGUCUGCACCUCUACUCUUUCCUUUCGGGCGAGAACUCGGUAGUGCAGAAGACAACUUGAUUAUAUCAUGUCGUCGCAGCAAGAAGUCUUUCCCUUCCCGGUCAAGCUCAACGAAACGUACAAUUCUCUAAUCACCUUUAAUCAUCGGGCUACCAACCGCUAGCAAGACUCCUCCCACCCUUCUUUGGGGUCGUUGUUUAAUGGGAACCGGAAGUUUCCCAACCGAAUUUCUCAAUUCCUGCAGCUGAUACAGCGAAAAGAUGGCGGGGGUGGUAGACAAAGAGAAAACAUGCCAUAAAAAAAAAGGAGAAACAUUUUACCAAUAGACAAAAGGCUAAGCUGUGUUGAAUACGACGGCAAAGGCAGAACUUACAACCCUUACCGACAAAGGUCAUUAGUUGUUUGCAAAAGGCUGCUGUUUUGUUUAUGAUGUUCGUCCCCACAACAAGCUCCACGUAUAACAUCAAUGGCACUGUGUUCUUUCGAUACGUGGCUGCACGAACGACGAGACCGGCGAGUCUGCGGACUACGGACUUCCCCUGGUCCCUCCACUGCGCGCAGCUCUCUUCAACAUCUCCAUGCGAUUUGUUGACACACGGGAAGAAAGCCAUACUCACCGUAGAGAA